rnacentral:rRNA from 1 species
GACGAACGCUGGCGGCGUGCUUAACACAUGCAAGUCGAACGGAAAGGCCCUGCUUGCAGGGUACUCGAGUGGCGAACGGGUGAGUAACACGUGGGUGAUCUGCCCUGCACUUCGGGAUAAGCCUGGGAAACUGGGUCUAAUACCGGAUAGGAGCCAUUUUUAGUGUGAUGGUUGGAAAGUUUUUUCGGUGUAGGAUGAGCUCGCGGCCUAUCAGCUUGUUGGUGGGGUAAUGGCCUACCAAGGCGGCGACGGGUAGCCGGCCUGAGAGGGUGGACGGCCACAUUGGGACUGAGAUACGGCCCAGACUCCUACGGGAGGCAGCAGUGGGGAAUAUUGCACAACGGGCGCAAGCCUGAUGCAGCGACGCCGCGUGGGGGAUGACGGCCUUCGGGUUGUAAACUCCUUUCGCUAGGGACGAAGCUUUUUGUGACGGUACCUAGAUAAGAAGCACCGGCUAACUACGUG